AGGAUAUUCUUCUGGAAGGAGAGAUGUAUAUCCUGUGAAGUGCACGCUUCCGUUUUUCCAAUUAUGAGAUAGCUCAAAUUCUUUGUCAAACAGCAGAUCAAAAGACACUUGUGGGAACUUCUCUGAGGAUAGUGUCCCCAGAACAAGCUUUUGAUUGCCGACCUUGACAUAUAGGAAAACCUGUUCACUUCCUUUGCUCUUGGACUCUCCAAGACACGCCUGUGACAGAUGCAGUAUCUUCUCCUCUCCAGGCCUCACCAAGAGAGGUUCUCCAACUUUAACCUCA
rnacentral:misc_RNA from 1 species